rnacentral:rRNA from 1 species
UACGUAGGGGGCAAGCGUUGUCCGGAUUUAUUGGGCGUAAAGAGCGUGUAGGCGGCCAAGCAGGUCUGCUGUGAAAACUCGAGGCUCAACCUCGAGACGUCGGUGGAAACCGUUUGGCUAGAGUCCGGAAGAGGAGAGUGGAAUUCCCGGUGUAGCGGUGAAAUGCGCAGAUAUCGGGAAGAACACCCGUGGCGAAGGCGGCUCACUGGGACGGUACUGACGCUGAGACGCGAAAGCGUGGGGAGCGAACAGG